rnacentral:lncRNA from 1 species
UGAAUUUAAAUUUUGAAACUAUAGAAUGAAUUUAAAUAGAGUCAGUGAAGUUCACAAAUAGCGCCAUAUCCAUUUCCUUCUCAUGCCAUGCUUCAAGUUACAUGUUUAAGUGAAAUCCAUGAGGGUUGAAAUAUACCUGGGAAUGAAAAAGCAACGGAAAAGAUGAUGUAUUAGCAGUGAGCAACAGUAGAAUUUAACCAAGAUUCAGUUUUUAAAUAGAAAAAUGAGAUUCAGCAGUCCAAAACCAGCUUCAAUCGAACAAUAAUCAAAACCAAAUUUCUUAACCAAACUUCUUAAAACCCAAGUUUAAUCCAUUUAUACCCCACAUGAAUCAGAUGGUGUUUCAACAACAUAAAAAAAACUUCAGAAAUCUGAGAAAACCACUUAAUAAAACAGUGAUUUCUGCAAAAACUUUUAUAAGCAGCCUUUUUUAGGAUUUUCAGCUCUAG